rnacentral:lncRNA from 1 species
GACAUAACAUAGGGCAGAUGGUGCUGUUGAGCGCAAGGAGUGGUGUCUGCUGGAGACAGAACCACUGGGUUCUACACCUGUGCCAACUCCACCUGCUGAGUUCUACAGCACAAGUGAGACUGCUACUGCCAGGUUACAGCUCUUAAAUCACCAGCAGGGCAGGAAAAAUCUGUGUUAGAAAAAGGAGCCUGGAGAUUCCUAGUCUCCACGCCAGUCAAGGCCUUUUUCCAUUCCUGUUCCAAUCUAGAUAUGAUAUUCCACAUCUGUGGCGAUGCACAGAGGAUUGACUCUGCCAUUAUUAGCAUGUAUCACAUCAGUUUGCCUGGUGAUGUAAGGCAAAAUGCUGUCCGUUUAGUCAAGUGGAAAUUCGGUAUCUGGCUGCAGAGCCAAAGGUUGGGAGUUUGAUUCCCCACUGAGCCGCCCUGACAGAGACUGGACUCAAUUAUCCAUAGGAUCACUUACAGCUCUGUAGCUCUACAAUCUAAGAUUAUAUCCUGUAAUGAAGAACCUUUAAAAAAAACGAAGGGUGUCUGUUGCACAAGGUACAUUUUACCAUGGGUACAUUCAGCACUUCUGCUUGGAGCCAUAAGCAGUUUAUUUCUGCGUUUCCUGACAAUGCCUUCAGCUUUCCCUUUUACUCCUUUUCACAGCCACAUAACAAUAGCUUUUUCUAAUUAUAAUGAUGGGGAUCCCAGGAGUCUUCUUGCAUUCCUGUUA